rnacentral:lncRNA from 1 species
UUAGGAAUUAGAUGCAAAUCCAAAUACAAGAGGUAUUUAGAAUCCCAAAUAAACAAGAUCAAAAAAGAUUCUAAGACACAUUAUAAUUAAAAUGCCUAAUGUACAUAAUAAGGGUAGAAUUUUAAAGCCACACACACACAAAAAAAACAACAACAACAACAACAACAACAAAAAUAAACAGGUGGUCACACUUAGAGGUAAGUCAAUUAAAAGUUUUAUUGAUUUGUCAACCCAGACCCUAAAAGAUAGGAGAACUUAAAAUAAUAUGUUCCAAGCCCUGAAAGAAAAUGGGUGCCAACCAGGAUUACUAUAUCCAUGAAAUUUAUUCUUCAGUGUUGAAGUGAAAUAGAAAAUAUUCCAUGACAUGCAGACACUAAAAUCAUUCAUAAUCACUAAGCCAGCACUAUAAAACAUACUCAAGUAUUUCAUACAGAAUAAAUGAAAUACAAAUAUCAGAGCCAAUGUAUGGAUAAAUCUCCCAGAAUAGUGAAUUAAAGGAGAAUUGAGUCUGAAUUAAGCAUUAGAAAUAAAUCAAAAUAAAGCAUUAGAAUUAAAGUAAGCAUUAGAAAUAAAAUCACCUCUCUGUAAUAACACCGAAUAUGAAUGGUCUAAACUCUCCAAUAAAAAGACAUAAAAUAAUUCUCAACUAUAUGUCAUUUACAAGAGUCAAAGACAUUCACAGGCUGAAGGUGAAAGGAUGGAAAAAGAUACUACGCAUAUGGAGACAGAAAGCAAGCAGGAGUGGGUACUCUCAUAUCUGACAAAGUAGACUUCAAGCCCAAAUUAAUCAGAAGAGAUGAAGAAGUUCACUUCAUACUGGUUGAGAGAAUAAUCCAACAAGAUAUAAUGAUUGUAAAUAUUUAUUCUCCAAACACAUGCAUACAUAAACAAAGCCUACUCAAUAUAAAAAAUAUAACAGAUACCAAUAAAACAAUGCUGGAUCAUUUCAACACUGUUGUCCACCAAUAGAUAGGGAAUCAAUUAAAAAUAAACAACUAAGGACUCUUCAGAACUAAAAACAUUACUAUUAAUCAAAUGGACAUAGCACACACACAUACACACACAACACACUCUAUGAAGUUACUUGAACUCAGGUGCACUGUAUCACUGAGCUGCAUCCCCAAACUCUUAAUUUUUUAUUUUGAGACAGGGUCUUGCUAAGUUGUUUAUGGCCUCCUAAGUUGCUGAGGCUGUCCUUACACUUGCAAAUCUUGACCUCCUGACUUGUUGGGAUUACAGGCGUGUGCCAUUGUGCCCAACUAACAGACAUCUGUAGAAACAACUAAAUUCACUUUCUUCUCAGCUGCACAUAGAACCUUUUCUAAAAUAGACCAUAUUUUAGUACAAUAGUACAAAACCAGUCUUAGAAAAUACAUAUUGAGAUCUGAUCAUAAUUAUUUCCUGUCUUCUACUGAUUUUAGUAUUUGUUCUUCUUUUUCUAGGGCCUUGAGGUAUAACAUUAAGUUAUUUGGGAAUUUUUUUGUGUGUGUGUAUAUGUGUGUGUGUUUUUUUAAUGUAGGCAUUCAAUGCUUUUUUCUCAGAAUUGUCUUAACACUGUUCCAAAAAUUUUGAUACAUUGUUUUUCUGUUCAGUUGUUUCUAAGAAUUUUUCUUUUCUUUUUAAUUUCACUUGUUUUAUUUUUAUGUGGUGCUGAGGAUCGAACCCAGGUCUCACUUGUGUGAGGUGAGGGAUCUACCACUGAGCCACAACCCCAGCCACCUAAGAAUUUUUAUUUCUAAAAAAAAAAAAAAAAGAAUACAUAGAGAUAAUUCCUCGAAACUUUGUUAGAUCAUAAUGGAACAAAAUUAGAAACCAUUAACAAGAUAAAAAACAAACUAUCUUUUUUGCAGGGUGGGUACUGAGGAUUGAACUCAGGGGUACUGAGUCACAUCUCUAGCUCUAUUCUGUAUUUUAUUUAGAGACAGAGUCUCACUGAGUUACUUAGCACCUCGUUUUUGCCGAGGCUGGCUUUGAAUAGAAGAUCCUCCUGUCUUAGCCUCCAUAGCUGCUGGGAAUGCAGACAUGCCCCACCGAGCCUGGCAGAAACCAUUUUGAUGCCUGGAGAUUAAAUAAAACACUCCAAUGAGGAAUGGAUCAUAGAAGUAAUCAGGGGAGAAAUAAAAAAAAUUCUUAGAAACAAUUGAGAACAGAAAAACAAUGUAUCAAAAUCUCCGAGACAGUAUUUAGACAAUUCUGAGAAAAAAAGCUUAUAGCAUUGAAUGCAUACAUUAAAACACACACACACACACACACAAAAAAAAAAAAAAAAAAAAAAAAAAAAAAAAAAAAAAAAAAAAAAUAAAAAAAAAAAAAAAAAAAAAAGAAUCCCAAAUAAUUUAAUGUUAUACCUCAGGGCCCUAGAAAAGGAAGAACAAAUACCCAAAUCGGUAGAAGAUAGGAAAUAAUUAUGAUCAGAUCUGAAAUUAAUGCAAUUGAGAAUAAAAAGAUACAAAGGAUCAGUGUAACAAAGUGUGAGCUCUUUGAAAGAUAAACACAAUUGACAAACCCUUAGCCAACUAAUCAAAAGAAAGAGAAGGCCCAAAUGGAUGGAAUUAGAGAUAAAAAGGAGCUACCAUCAUAGACAUUACUGAAAUUAAAAGGAACAUUAGAAACUAUUUUGAAAUGUAUAAUCCAAUAAAUUGGAAAAUCUCAGUUAUUGACAAAUUUCUAGACACAUACGACCUACCCAAUUUGACUAUGAAGGUAAAGAAAAUUUAAAUAGACCAAUAUCAAGCAAUGAGAUUGAAGCAGCAAUUCAAAGCCUGCCAACAAAGAAAAGCCCAGGACCAAACAAAUUCUCAGCUGAAUUCUACCAGACCUGUAAAGAAGAGCGAACACCAAUCCUCUUCAAAUUAUUCUAUUAAAUAGAAAGAGAAGGAACACUCCCAAUUUAAUUUUAUGAAGUUGAUAGCACCCUGAUAUGAAAAGCAGGAAAAGACACAUCAAGAAAACUACAGACCAAUAUCCAUGAUGAACAGACACAAAAAUUCUUAAUAAAAUAAUAGCAAACUGCAUUAAAAAACACAGUAAGAAGAUAGUACACCAUUAUCAAUCAGGUUUCAUCCUAGGGAUACAAGAUUGGAUCAACAUAUGCAAAUCAAUAAAUGUAAAUUAAGACAGGGAUCAUGUGAUAAUCUUAACAGAUGCAGAAAACGCCUUUAAUGAGAUUCAGCACCAGUUUAUGUUAAAAACACUGGGUAAAUGCAAAUCAAAACUACUCUAAGAUUUCAUCUUAUACCAGUCAGAAUGGCAGUUAUCAAGAAUACAGACAACAAUAAAUAUUGGUGAGGAUCUGGGGGAAAAGGCACACUCAUUCAUUGCUGGUGGGACUGCAAGUUGGCACAACCAAUCUGGAAAGAAGUAUGGAGAUUCCUUAGAAAACUUGGAAUGAAACCACUAUUUGACUCAGCUAUCCCAUUCCUUGGUCUACAUCCAAAGGACUUAAAAUCAGAAUACUAUAGUAAAGCAACAGCCACAUCAAUUGUUUAUAGCUGCUCAAUUCACAAUAGCUAAACUGUGGAAACAACCUAGAUGCCUUUCAUUAGAUGAAUUGAUAAAGAAACUGUGAUAUAUAUAUAUAUAUAUAUAUAUAUAUGUAUAUAUACAUAUAUAUAUAUACACACAUACACACACACACACACAAUGGAAUAUUACUCAGCAUUAAAAGAAAAUAAAAUCAUGGCAUUUGUAGGUAAAAGGACGGAGUUGGAGAAUAUCAUGCUAAGUGAAGUAAGCCAAUCCCCUAAAAAGCCAAAAGCCAAAUGUUUUCUCUGAUAAGCACAUGCUGAUCCAUAGUCGGGAGUGGGUGGGGAGGAAUGAAGAAUGAAGAAAUUGGGGAUUAUGCAGAGGGAGUUAGGGGUGUGUGUGUGGUUGUGGGGAUGGGAAGGAUGGUAGGAUGAGACAGACAUUAUUACCCUAUAUACAUGUAUGAUUACACUACUGGAGUGACUCUGCACCAUGUACAACCAGAAGAAUGAGAAGUUGUGCUUCAUUUGUGUACAAUGUAUCAAAAUGCAUUCUACUGUCAUGUAAAACUAACUAGAACAAAUAAAAAAAAUAGACGGGAGACCAUUAAAAUAGAAGAGGGUCAGGGGGAGGGAGGGAAAGAAGAAAAUUAGGGCUGAGGUUGUGGCUCAGUGGUGGAGUGCUUGCCUAGCAUAUGUGAGGCACUGGGUUUGAUUCUCAGCACUGCAUAUAAAUGAAUAAAAUAAAGAUCCAUUGACAACUAAAAAAUUUUUUUUAAAAGGGAAGAAAAUUAAAGGAAUAAAAAAUUUAAAAAGAGGUCAAAUUAUCUGUUUGCUGAUGACAUAAUCCUAUAUCUGGAAGAUCCACCCCCAAAACAACUCCACCCAAAGACUUCAAACAAAUUAUCAAAGUAGCAGGAUACAAGAUCAACAUACAAAAAUCCAUCAUUUUCUAUACUCCAACAAUUAAUAUGCUAAUCCAGAAAUCAGGGACAUGAUCUCAUUCAAAAUAAUCUAAAAACAACAACAACAACAAAAACAGAAUCCUUCAGAAAAAAAUCUAACCAAAGUGGUGAAAGUCCUCUAUAAUGUAAACUAUAGAUCACCAAAUGAUUUGAAGAAGGAUUUACAAGGGAAAGACCUCCCAUGUUCAUGUUCUUGGAUAGGCAGAAUUAAUAUUAUCAAAAUGGCCAUACUGCCGAUAGCAUUAUACAGAUUCAAUGCAAUUCCCAUUAAAAUAUCAAUGACAUUCUUCCCAGAACCAGAACGGUCUUAAUAUUUGUUUGGAGAAAUAAUUGACCCAGAACAGUCAAAUCAAUACAGAGUAAAAAGAGCAUUACUCAAUAAACUUAUGCACAUGGAUUGAAGCAAUCAAGAGCAUGAAGAGAAAGUCUACAGAAUGGGAGAAAAUAUUUGCCAGCUACUCCUGUGACAGGGGUUGAUAUUCAGAAAAUAUAAAGAACUCAAAAAGCUUAAUGCUAAAAAAUGCCAAAUAACCCAGUCAAUAAAUGGGCAAAAGAACUAAACAGAUAUUUCUCAAAAAAAAAACAACCCACAAAUGGCCAACAAAUACAUGAAAAAAUAUUCAACAUCCCUAGCAUAAAGGGAAAUGCAAAUCAAAACUACUCUGAGAUUUUAUCUCACUCCAGUUAGAAUGGCAAUCAUCAAGAAUUCCAAUAAUAAUAAAUGCUGGUGAGGAUGUGGGGGAAAAGGUACAUUCAUACAUUGUUGGUAGAGCUGCCAAUUAGUACAACCAUUUAGAAAGCAGUAUAAAUAGCAUGGAGCUUCAUUAAAAGAGGAAGGGAACCACCAUGUGAACUAGCUAUCCCACUCCUUGGCAUUUAUCCCAAAGAACUAAAAUCAUCAUAUUGUAGUGAUACAGCCAGACCAAUGUUUAUAGCAGCACAAUUCACAAUAGUCAAGUUAUGGAACCAGCACAGAUGCCUGUGUUGUGAUGUAUAUCCACAAUGGAGUUUUUCUCAGUCAGAGAGACGAAUGAAAUUACGGCAUUAGCCAGUAAGUGGAUGAAACUGGAGAAUAUCAUGCUAAGUGAAACAAACCAGACUCAGAAAAUCAAGUGUUGAAUGCUUUCUCACAUAUGUGUAAAGUAAAGCGAGAUAAGGAGAAAAUGGGGUCAUUUCAUGAAAAUAUAUGGGAAAUCAGUGAAGUAGAAGAAGGAGAUAAAUGGGAAGAGAGGAGGGAGGUGAAAAGGGAGGAACUGCAGAAUGAAAUUGACCCCGUUAUGCCAUGGGCAUGUAUGAAUAUACCACAGUGAAUUUCAUCUUUACGUAUAUCCAUAAAGUGCCAAUUAAAAAAGCAAUACAUAAAUAGAAGGAAGGCCAGUAGAGGAAGGGGAACAGGUGGAGCGGGGAGGGGAGGAAGAGAGGAUGUACUGGGGACUGAAUGGAGCAAAUCAUAUUCCAUGCAUGUAUGAUUAUGUCAAAAUAAACCCUAGUGUUGUAUAUAACAAUAAAGCACUAAUAAAAAUUUUAAAAAGUAUUCAAAAUUCUUCUAGCAUUUAAACACUAAUGAAAACAUCCAAAAGUUUAUUAUUCUAUGUUUUAAGGUGGUUAGAAAUGGAGAAAAUAAAGAUAUUAGAAAUAACACUAAUCCUGAAAGAAAAAAAAACAGGCACGCUGAUAUAUUAAAUAGAUCUACAUUUACUGCCAAAAUAAAUAAUUCUUUUUUAAAUGAAAACUGUUCUACAACAUUUAGAUGAAGCAACCUAGACUUUUAACAGCACAAGAUCCAUUUAACAGCUUUGAAGGACAUUUUUUAAAGGUGGUGAAACAUCUUGCUGAUUAGAAUACCAUAUGACCUCAUUUUUAACUCUAGGUUGGCAAAGGAUCUGAUGUCAGAUUACAGACAAUUGAAAAAAGCCUGUUUUUAACUGAAGGCUAAUUAACAUCAAUUUUAUUUUUAAAAAUGAAAAAUUUAGGGUCUAUAUAUCAGCAUGAACACUUUAUAACAAGGGGCUGUGAAAAUAGACUUAAUGAGGCAAACUAGUUUUAAAAGCUGAUGUCUAAAAACUUCUUAAACAUCAACUAUGUCAAAAUAGACUUUAUUAUUACAUAUAACUAAAAAGAACAAAUAAAAAAAUUCCUCUUGGACCCAGUUUGAAGAAUGUGAAAAUUAAAAUUCUGGAAAUGCACAUAACAUUUAGGUUGCUGAAUGAAGGUAUAGAUGGACUAUUAGUUAAUUUCCAAAACUACUGCUAGGAUGUAUGAUCAAUUUACAACAACAAUACCCGCCCCCCCCGCAAUUCUUAGCUCAUUAUACUAUGAUGCCAUUCCAAAAAUAAGCAACAGAAAUAAUACAUAGGUUAUUAGCAUUUAAAAUCAUCUUAUAUUUACUUUGACUUGUUUCAGUCCUGGAAUGAAGAAUGGCAUGCCUGGUGAGACUGCAGGUUUCAAAUGAGAGUUUUUAAAACAGCGUUGCUUAGGCUCAGGCCUAAGGCCAUCCUCACAACAUCGCUAUUACAAAAAAGUUCAAAUUAACUUAUUUUCACAAAUUUUACUAAAGUCAUGUAAAUCAAAAGUCAUUUGGGAUAAUUUCACAGAUUAUGUGCUUACUUUAUAUCUAUACAGUAUGUUACCAUGUUACCAUGCAAAGAACUUAUAGGCAUAUAAUCAGAGUGCACAUAAGAAAAUCCCAAAGCUUAGAUUUAUCAUUUGCCAGUUUUAAAAGCCAGACUGUUAUCUAAUAUAGCCUUAACCAGUCUGUAAUCUUAAAUUUGCAUUUAUAAUUGAGGUUAAGUAGAAAAUUUACAUCUCAAAGCCUGAGACAAGCAAACAAACCUUGAUUAACCAUUUUUUUUAACAGAGAUAAAAUAUUUUUAAUCAAAAUAAAAAUACAUAAUUUAAGCAUGCUGAAUUAACACAACCUGGUAUGGUAUGCCUUCCUAUAAUCCCAACUGACACAGGAGGAUUGCAAGUUUGAAGCCAGCCUCAACAAUUUAGUGAGACCCUGUCUGAAAUAAAAACUAAAAAUGGCUGGGGGUGUAGCUCAGUGGUAAAGCACGGUUGGUUUAAUCCUUAGUACUGUCAUCAAACAAAUACCCGCCCGCCCCAUUUGAUAACUGAAAAAUAAAUACUCCUCAGGAAAAUAGAAUUUCUUAUGUUAUGCAGAUAAAUGUGUUGCUGUAGCCAUCCAAGUUUAGCUUAUUAAGCCAAUUGUCAUAUAAAACAGUUGCUUUAAAUUAGAAUCACUUUUAGAUAUGAAGAUCAUGCUGCCAUUUUUUCCACCAAACCCAUAUGAGCUCUCCAAACAAAUCAAAAUAAUUGAUGAAAAAUUUUGUCCUCUAAAUUUUGUCUCAUAUCAUCAGUAGCCAAGGACUGAAUGGAUUAUUCAAGCCCCAAAUGGCAUUGUGAACCCUGAUAUGAUGACCUAGUGGGACCCAUGGAUUCCCAUACAAAUAAUUUUUUCCUCCCUUAUCAUCAAAGCAUUUGUAGGUAGUGAAGUUUAUAGUAGAAAGGAAGAGAAAAAUCCCAGGAUUUAAAAUGUCUCUGGGUACCGUCUGGGAUUUUCCUAAAAAUUUAAAUGGCAGACUUGGCUAUCCAUGAGCGGUUGAGCCCCCUUCACAUUAGAGAUUGUUGCCAGUUUGGGUCAUGUUGCUCCAGGACAAAAUAUUUGCUCCUGAAAUUACUCAUAAAACUGAAAUCAUGGGGCUGGAGAUAUAGUCGAUAGAGUGCUUGUUUUGCAUGCAUAAAGCCCUGGGUUCAAAAAAAAAAAAAAAAGCCUAAAAUCAUGGGGGGUAACAGGAUAGAAUUUACCACUUGUCAUGUUUCACCAAAAUUUUGGGGACAGGUUGGUGAGGAAAAUAUUGAGGAAGAUAGAGAUGUUCAUUUCAAAUAUCCAUCCCUGGGGACCCAGGGAUCUGGAGAGCUUUUUUUUUUUUUUAAUAUAAGAAAAUAUUUUAAAAAAAGGCACAGUGAGACAAAGGAGAGGAAUGUACAUAUGUAGAUUUAGCUACCCAGAGAACAAUUCAGUCUUAGUUUCUUUGGUGUCUGUCCUGAGCAUAAAGAACUUUAAAAUUCUCAAUGUGAGUAAGCUUAGGAGCUCUCUGCUUGAAAGCACCUAUGAAAAUAUUCUCACCAAACCACGGAGCCCAGAAAUAGAAGGAGCAGACAUGGACAUACUGUAAUGCCAGAUUCGUGGGACCACAAUAGACCUCCAGGAGCCGAAUCCGAUGCAAGCACACAAGAGCCUUUAUUGCAAGCUCAAGCCUGGACUCACAACCGUUCCCGACACAGCGGUCCAGGGGAGUGUCUUGGUCCUUUGUUCAGUGAGAUUUUAUAGGUUUUGGGGGGAUACUCUAUGUGUCACAACAUCACACAGCAAAUCAUUCCAUACCGCGGGAAAGUCAAACAACAACUCUUAACAUUCACUGGUGGGAACAAGUUGGGUAGGGGUGAUUGGUUAGUACAAGAGGGGGAUUUGUUUAAAUGGAUUGGUUUAGGCCACGAGGGGUGAACAUGCUAAACUACAUGGUUUCCCAACAUGUUGUCAACCACCAUAAACUACUGGGGGGUCAUCUGGCAUCCUAGGUAUUUUCCCUGUCUCAUGUUGAUUGGUGGUUGCUAGGGAGUUGCUAUGGGUCCUCCCUAGCCUAACUGAGUCAGGGACACCUGGCUCCACAGAUCUCUCCUGUUAUUUGCAGACAAAAAACUCAGCAGGGUGGGUAUGUGCCUAGAAAGGCUCUGUGGGUUUUUCCAAGGACAGGAUCACUCCCCCUUCCUUAGGACAGGCCUUGAGGUAGAAGCUCCUAUUCUUUAUUUUUUUUAAAUGGAGUCACAUCAGUUUCUCACAUAUAAUUAGCUAUCUGAUUGAAAAUGUUUUUCAUCCUCCUAUAUUUUCAUUUUUCGGUGACUAUUCUCAUCACAUUUCCAUAAAAAUGUUGCAAAAAGCUUGAUUCAACAGAAAACAUCUGGCUUUUGAAUGAAAUUAUAUUGCUUAUAUACUUAGUUGUAAAAGUAAUUGAUAUUUUAAUCAAAUGGUUGAAGGAUAGGGUGUAUUUUGAAACAUUUUUAUUUAUUUGCAACUGAAUACAUGGUUUGUUAACAUGUUUUUUUUCCUAAAGAGGCAGGUCAGAAAUGUUUUGAGCUUUGCACACCAUCGUGUCCCUGUUGCUACAGCUCAUCUCUGCUGUUAUAGCACAAAAGCAGCCAUAGGCCGUAGGUCAAUUAAUGGCCAUGUCUGUAUUUCAAUUAAACUUUUUUGUGGUGCUGGGGACACUCAAAGGCCUGACACAUGGUAAGCAUGUACUCUAUACCUGAGCUACCUCCCUAGGCCUCUUAAUUAUAUUUUAUUUAUAGACAUAGGCAGUUAUUUGCCUGCUUGUUCUAGGGUUUAAUUUAUUUCCAUAUACUCAUGCAAAGAUACAAUACUCUGAAAUACUUUAGAGAAAUUCUCCCUCACGUUUCUUUCCAUUAGAUACCAUUCCUUCUCAUACAGUCAACAAGGGCUGGCUUCUGUCUCAGAGAUAAUCUUGGCACAUACAAGAGUGUAUAUAUUGUAGGAUGGGUCCCAAAUCCUUCUUUUCUUUAUUUUCUUUCCUUAAUUUUUAAAUUUAAUUAAUUGAUUAAUUUUUAAAUUGUGUUAGGGCUAGAACUUAGGGCCUCAUGCAUGCUAACCAGGAACUCUACCACUGAGUUACAUCUCCAGUCAUCUCUUUUUUGUUUUAUACACUUAUUAAUGAUGCAAAUCCUUUAUAAGAAACAGAAGUAUUUUGUUAGCUUAUUCAUGCCUGAAGAUCUCUUUAUUCUGUGAUUAAAACUGUUGGGUGUGUGGGAGACUCCCCGCUGAAGUUAAGUUUCAGUCUAGCGAGAACAUUACAGAAUCCCUUACCCCUCCCCCUCUUCUCCGAAGGGCGCUAAGCAGAAGAGUGCCAAAUUCAAAAGUUCUCUCCACUAAUCCCUGCUGGACACAGUGUCCACUUGCUGUUCCUGAGUCACCUGCCAAUCAGCACCUGCCAUGUCACCUACACAACCCUUUUAAGCCGAAGCUUGCAAGCUCAUGCUCUUUGCCCUCUUCCUCUCUGCUCUCUGCCCUCUUUCUCUUCUUUCUCUCCUCUCUUCCUCUCUGCUCUCUACCUCUGCUCUCUGCUCUAUUUCUCUCUGCCCUCCUCCUCUCCUCUUUCUGCUCUCUGCCUCUUCUUUUCUUCCCCUUCAGGCAGCCCCCCAAUAAAUCUCUUGGUUGAAUCUCCAUCUCCGGUGAGUCACUUGCCUUUCAAAAAUCAAAUGGUCUCUACUGUGAAAAUAAAAGUUACUGUUACAGAAAUGGGGUCUUCUGGGAAACUGAGGCAGUGUGAAGACACUCCCCCCUUUUAAACCUCAAUUCUUGUUAUCAAGUUGGGAAGAUUUCAGACAUGUCUCUCAGAGUAACAGACAUGAGUUUAUUGAAGGGACAGGAAAAGGAAAAGGGGACACUCUCAUGGGAGAGUGUGAGUCCUCUCAUAGAGGAGAGGGACAAUGUGCCUCUCCUAAAUUCCAGAGAAGUUUACGGAGAGUCCUAUGCAGGUCCACCUCUUGACUUUUGACUGACAGCAGGAUGACAUCAAACUUUCAAGUCCCCACUGCCAUGACAACUCUAGGUCACUUUGGCCCAUGCUGGCCAGUUCUAACUGGAUUCUUCACUAUAAAUUCAUGCACAUUUUGUGGUUAGGAGCAAUGUCAAGUUUUCUUUUUUGAUAUAGUCUUAGUUUUGAUAUAGUCUUAAUUUUGCUUGGGUAUUUGCCAUCUCAUGAGUUCAAGUGAGAUGAACUCUUCUUUUAUACGUGAAAACAAUGAGAAAGGAUUGAAUUCAAUUAGAAAAAUUUUAAGAUAUUGCCCAAAGGUGGCUUAGGCAUAGGCUCUGAACCAUUGACCAAGAAAGUCUGUUUGGGAUUUCUUGGAAGGUUUUCCUUUUACAUUACCAAAACAAACAAACAAACAAACAAACACCCUGAAAAAUUGAUGUACAUUGAUUUAGUACCUUGAUAGUGCUGAUAGUUGCAAAGAUAUAUGAAUAUGUCCAAACUCAUGAAAAGAUAUACAUUAAAAUGUGCAAUUUCUGUAUAUCAAUUAUACCUCAUUGAAGCCUAAAAAAGAUGUGAGAUAUUUCUUUCUCUGCCUUUGUACUUUUUUUUUUUUUAGUAAGAAUGUGAGUGUUUUGUGACAUUUCAAAGGAGUAAUCUAUGACUAAACAUAAAAACAAAAAACUCCUAAAUCUAAUGAAUGCUAACCCUUGAACUUUGGGACUCAUGACACUCUGUGGUGGAAAAUAAUUAACUACUAUUUUUUUUUUUCGUUGGAUGGAGCAUGUGUGUUGUGGACAUGUCCUGUGAGGUACACAGCAGUGAGCAGUCAGCAGUCAAUAUUCCCAGAAGCUAGAAAACAGAUACAAAGUAAUCUGGGUUUGAUACCAAAAGUUUUGGGGCUCAUGGUUUCAGAGGUCUCAGUCCAUAGAUGAUGAAGCAGAAUGUCAUAGAAAAAGGGUUUGGUGGAGAAAAGCAGCUCAGGACAUUGCAAUCAGGAGGCAGAGAGAGCUCUGUUCAGCAGGGAUAAAACAUAAAUCCCAACAGCAUGCCCCCACUGACCUAUCUUCUCCAGCCAUACCCCACCUGCCUACAGUUACUUCCAGUUAAUCCAUAUCAGUAGAUUAAGACACCGAUUAGGUUGAGGCUCUCAUAACCCAAUCAUUUUGUCUUUCAACCUCCUUGCAUUAUGUCACACAUCAGCUUUUGGGGGACACCUCAUAUCUAAACCACAACACUUUUAUAUGUGGAAACUAGAGAAAAAAGGCAAAAAGGGAAUGGUAAUGUCAUGAAUAUAGGAAGGCCAGUAGUAUAGAAAAGUUGACCAGGGAAAGGGAGGAGGUGGACAAAGUACUGCGAAAGGAUAGUGAUCAAAUUAUGUUGCUUGUACAAAUGUGGGUUUAUUAACUAAUCCCACUAUAACAUAUAAUUUAAAAAAAUUUUAGUUGUUGAUGGAACUUUAUUUUAUUUAUUUAUAUGCAGUGCUGAGAAUUGAAUCUAGUGCUCACACAUGCGAGGUAAACGCUCUGCCACUGAACCACAACCUCAGCCCUAUAAUGUAUAAUUAUAAUGCACCAAUAAUUUUAAAAAAAGCAUUUUCCCUUCAUUGGCUUUGUGACUUGCAGGUUAUAUAAUCAAAACUGUUCAGUUAUUCAAACUUUUGUGGCAUUAUCACUUUUUCCCUCUGCUCUAUCAGCUUUUGAGGGGUGAUUUCAAAACACAAAAUAAAGCAAUAUUGCAAGGAUAGAAAAAGAAAUGAGCACUCUUUGUUAUUGCUCCUUUGACUUUUUUUUUUUUUUUGCAUGAGUCUACGUGUGACAAUAGUUAAACUGUGGAGCCAACCUAGAUGCCCUUCAGUGGAUGAAUGGAUUAAAAAGUGUGGCAUAUAUACACAAUGGAAUUUUACUUAGUAUUAAAAGAGAAUAAAAUCAUGUCAUUUUCAGGUAAAUGGAUGGUGUUGGAGAAGAUAAUGCUAAGAGAAGUUAGCCAAUCCCAAAAAACAAAUGCCAAAAUGAUAUAAGGAGGCUGACUCAGUGGGGUAGGGAAGGGGAACAUGGGAGGAUUAGAUGAAUUCUAGAUAGGGCAGAGGGGUGGGAGGGAAAGGGAGGGAGCAGGGAGUUAGCAAGGAUGGUGGAAUGUAAUAGACAUCAUUAUCCAAAGUACAUGUAUGAAGACAUGAAUUGGUGUAAACAUAAUUUAUAUACAAACAGAGUUCUAUAUGUGUAAUAAGAAUUAUGAUGCAUUCCACUGUCAUGUAUUUAAAAAAUAAAACC